rnacentral:tmRNA from 1 species
GGGGACGUUACGGAUUCGACAGGGAUGAUCUGGGCUUGGGUUGCGCGUCGGAGGGUCGGCUUCGUCACCAACGUAACUUAUAACAACUGGCAAAACUAACAACAACCUAGCAUUCGCAGCGUAAGCUCGGAUCUGCUUUAUGUAUCCAUCGCCCAUGUGGCUGCAUAGAGCUCACUUUUAGUGGGAUACGACAGCCGGUGCCGUUUGAGCCGUCUGGAAGAGAUUCUCGAACUAGCCCUCAGGAAGCCUGCUUAUCGGCAGACUGUGCGGCGAAAUCCAAUAGAUAAGCUACACGCGUAGAUGCUCAAGUAACGGAGUCUCUGGACGCGGGUUCGACUCCCGCCGUCUCCAUAG